rnacentral:rRNA from 1 species
AUUGAACGCUGGCGGCAGGCUUAACACAUGCAAGUCGAGCGGUAACAGGGGGUGCUUGCACCCCGCUGACGAGCGGCGGACGGGUGAGUAAUGCAUAGGAAACUGCCCAGUAGUGGGGGAUAGCCCGGGGAAACCCGGAUUAAUACCGCGUACGCCCUUUGGGGGAAAGCAGGGGAUCUUCGGACCUUGCGCUAUUGGAUGUGCCUAUGUCGGAUUAGCUAGUUGGUGGGGUAAAGGCCUACCAAGGCGACGAUCCGUAGCUGGUCUGAGAGGAUGAUCAGCCACAUCGGGACUGAGACACGGCCCGAACUCCUACGGGAGGCAGCAGUGGGGAAUAUUGGACAAUGGGGGCAACCCUGAUCCAGCCAUGCCGCGUGUGUGAAGAAGGCUUUCGGGUUGUAAAGCACUUUCAGUGAGGAGGAAAACUCUGCGACUAAUACUCGUAGGGCUUGACGUUACUCACAGAAGAAGCACCGCUAACU